GCAUGUCUAAGUAUAAGUAUUAUAAAGCGAAACUGCGAAUGGCUCAUUAAAACAGUUGUAAUUUAUUUGAUGAUUUUCUUACAUGGAUAACCGUGGGAAACUAGGGCUAAUACAUGCGUAAGACCUUUACAGGUCGUAUUUAUUAGUUUCAAACUAAUGCAGCCAACUGCAUUGUGAGGAAUCAAAAUAACUGAUCGAAGCUCAUUUAUGAGCUAAAUCAUUCAAGCUUCUGACCUAUCAGCUCGUUGUUAGUGUAUUGGACUAACAAGGCGGUAACAGGUAACGGAGAAUUGGGGUUCGAUUCCGGAGAGUCAGCCUGAGAAACGGCUGACAUUUCUACGGAAGGCAGCAGGCGUGAAAAUUACCCAAUCACAAUUCGUGGAGGUAGUUAAUAGACAUAACAAUUCCGGCCUUUUAGGUUCUGGAAAUGUAAUGAAGUCAAUUUAAACAAUUGAUUGAAAUCCAUUGGAGGGCAAGUCUGGUGCCAGCAGCCGCGGUAAUUCCAGCUCCAAUAGCUUUGUUGAAAGUUGCUGCAGUUAAAAAGCUCGCAGUUGAAUAUCCGGCGUCUUUGACGUCUGCCCGGUACGACUUUCGAUACCGAAAGGUUUUGUCUGCUCGUUUGGGCGUUUACUGUGAACAAAUUAGAGUGCUCAAAACAGGCUUUUGCUUGAAUUUUUUAGCAUGGAAUAAUAAAAUACGACUUCGCUCAUUUUAUUGGUUAUUGGACGGAGUAAUGGUUAACAGGAACAGUUGGGGGCAUUCGUACUUAAAAGUCAGAGGUGAAAUUCUUAGAUUUUUUAAAGACGAACUAAUGCGAAGGCAUUUGCCAAGGAUGUUUUCAUUAAUCAAGAACGAAAGCGUUGGGAUCAAAAAGGAUCAGAUACCCUUGUAGUCAACGCCGUAAACGAUACUGACUAGGGAUUGGUGAGGUAACCCCUCAUCAGCACCUAAUGAGAAAUCAAAGUCUUUGAGUUCUGGGGAGAGUAUGGUCGCAAGGCUGAAACUUAAAGGAAUUGACGGAAAGAUACACAAGUCGUGGAUUCUGCGGCUUAAUUUGAUUUAACACGGGAAAACUUACGCAGGCAAAAAGUUAAAAGGAUUGACAGCUUGAUAGCACUUUCUUGAUAUGACAGCGAGUGGUGCAUGGCCGUUCUUAGUUGGUGGAGUGAUUUGUCAGGUUAAUUCCCUAAACGAACGAGAUCUUCGCUUGCUAAUUAGUCGUCGUUAAAAUCUAGCGAUUGACUUCUUAGAAGGACUACGGUUCCCAAAACCGUGGAAGUUGGAGGCAAUAACAGGUCCGUGAUGCCCUCAGAUGUUU
rnacentral:rRNA from 1 species